AGCGGCAGGCCUAACACAUGCAAGUCGAGGGGUAACAUAAAGUGCUUGCACUUUGAUGACGACCGGCGCACGGGUGAGUAACGCGUAUACAAUCUGCCUCAUACUAGGGGAUAGCCCAGAGAAAUUUGGAUUAAUACCCUAUAGUAUCAUUUAGAGUCAUCUCUUUAUGAUUAAAGGUUACGGUAUGAGAUGAGUAUGCGUUCUAUUAGUUAGUAGGUGAGGUAACGGCUCACCUAGACCACGAUAGAUAGGGGCCCUGAGAGGGGGAUCCCCCACACUGGUACUGAGACACGGACCAGACUCCUACGGGAGGCAGCAGUGAGGAAUAUUAGACAAUGGGCGAAAGCCUGAUCUAGCCAUGCCGCGUGCAGGAUGACGGCCCUAUGGGUUGUAAACUGCUUUUAUACAGGAAGAAAAAACUCUACGUGUAGAGUCUUGACGGUACUGUAAGAAUAAGGAUCGGCUAACUCCGUGCCAGCAGCCGCGGUAAUACGGAGGAUCCAAGCGUUAUCCGGAAUUAUUGGGUUUAAAGGGUCCGUAGGUGGACAAUUAAGUCAGAGGUGAAAUCCUGCAGCUCAACUGUAGAAUUGCCUUUGAAACUGGUUGUCUUGAGUCAUUAUGAAGUGGUUAGAAUGUGUAGUGUAGCGGUGAAAUGCAUAGAUAUUACACAGAAUACCAAUUGCGAAGGCAGAUCACUAAUAAUGUACUGACACUGAUGGACGAAAGCGUGGGUAGCGAACAGGAUUAGAUACCCUGGUAGUCCACGCCGUAAACGAUGGUCACUAGCUGUUCGGACUUCGGUCUGAGUGGCUAAGCGAAAGUGAUAAGUGACCCACCUGGGGAGUACGUCGCAA
rnacentral:rRNA from 1 species